GUUUUAAUGAUUCUACUCUGUAAGUUGGGUACUUCUUUGAAAUUUGAUGCAAGUGUUGUUCUUUGCUCUUUUAAAAUUCAGUUGUAAUAUCAUAUUGUUCACAUUGGGAUGGGAAACUUAUUUGCAGUAUGUGCCAGCUUGAGACAUGUUAUUGUAUCAUUUUUCUAAAGUGUUAUAAUGUUUAUACUCUAAUUUUUCUAUGUUUCUUCUUUUACUGGUCAAGUGGAAGUGGCUUCCCUAGAUUACCCAUUAGGAGCACCAUUUUUUUUGUGUGUGUGUUU
rnacentral:misc_RNA from 1 species